rnacentral:rRNA from 1 species
CCUACGGGUGGCAGCAGUCGAGAAUCAUUCACAAUGGGGGAAACCCUGAUGGUGCGCCGCCGCGUGGGGGAAUGAAGGUCUUCGGAUUGUAAACCCCUGUCAUGUGGGAGCAAAUUAAAAAGAUAGUACCACAAGAGGAAGAGACGGCUAACUCUGUGCCAGCAGCCGCGGUAAUACAGAGGUCUCAAGCGUUGUUCGGAAUCACUGGGCGGAAAGCGUGCGUAGGAUGUUUCGUAAGUCGUGUGUGAAAGGCGCGGGCUCAACCCGCGGACGGCACAUGAUACUGCGAGACUAGAGUAAUGGAGGGGGAACCGGAAUUAUCGGUGUAGCAGUGAAAUGCGUAGAGAUCGAGAGGAACACUCGUGGCGAAGGCGGGUUCCUGGACAUUAACUGACGCUGAGGCACGAAGGCCAGGGGAGCGAAAGGGAUUAGAUACCCUAGUAGUC